rnacentral:rRNA from 1 species
CAGUAGCCGCGGGAAUACGAAGGGUGCAAGCGUUACUCGGAAUUACUGGGCGUAAAGCGUGCGUAGGUGGUGGUUUAAGUCCGUUGUGAAAGCCCUGGGCUCAACCUGGGAAUUGCAGUGGAUACUGGGUCACUAGAGUGUGGUAGAGGAUAGUGGAAUUUCCGGUGUAGCAGUGAAAUGCGUAGAGAUCGGAAGGAACAUCUGUGGCGAAGGCGACUAUCUGGGCCAACACUGACACUGAGGCACGAAAGCGCGGGGAGCAAACAGGAUUAGAUACCCCCGUAGUCCCUGUCUCUUAUAC